rnacentral:rRNA from 1 species
UACAGAGGGGGCAAGCGUUGCUCGGAAUCACUGGGCGUAAAGCGCACGUAGGCGGCUUAUUAAGUCAGGGGUGAAAUCCUGGAGCUCAACUCCAGAACUGCCUUUGAUACUGGCGAACGUGUGAGUUCGGGAGAGGUGAGUGGAACUGCGAGUGUAGAGGUGAAAUUCGUAGAUAUUCGCAAGAACACCAGUGGCGAAGGCGGCUCACUGGCCCGAUACUGACGCUGAGGCACGAAAGCGUGGGGAGCAAACAGG